UUGUAUCAAGGGCUAUAAUCUACGUGCCAAUUAUAAUAUAGGGAACUUUAAUUGAUUCAACUCUCCCGUUCCCUAAAUCUUUUCUUUUCUUUCCCUUUUUCUUUUUAAUUAAUUAACUCACCAUUUAUGUGUAUUAGGGACUCCUUUGCAUGAGUACAAGGUCCCUUUUAGCUUGAUCUAGGCUUAAUACUCUAUUAUAGCAUGAAAUCCCUUAUUUUCCACCCGAAUGAACAGUAAUCCGGACUGACAGUGGGUUACUUCAUCCCGAUUUUGAUCCACUUUCAGGACUCCAAAUUUGAUGAAAUUUUUACCUAACAUUCUACACUCAUAGAGAAUUCCAAAGAGAUAAA
rnacentral:lncRNA from 1 species